rnacentral:rRNA from 1 species
CCUACGGGGGUCUGCAGUGAGGAAUAUUGGUCAAUGGUCGGGAGACUGAACCAGCCAAGCCGCGUGAGGGAUGAAGGUACAGAGUAUCGUAAACCUCUUUUGUCAGGGAACAAAGGCGGGGACGUGUCCCCGGAUGAGUGUACCUGAAGAAAAAGCAUCGGCUAACUCCGUGCCAGCCGCCGCGGUAAUACGGAGGUUGCGAGCGUUAUCCGGAUUUAGUGGGGUUAAAGGGUGCGCAGGCGGUCUGUUAAGUCAGCGGUCAAAGCCCGGGGCUCAACCCCGGCCCGCCGUUGAAACUGGCAGUCUCGAGUUGGAGAGAAGUAUGCGGAAUGCGCGGUGUAGCGGUGAAAUGCAUAGAGAGCGCGCAGAACUCCGAUUGCGAAGGCAGCAUGCCGGCUCCACACUGACGCUGAGGCACGAAAGCGUGGGUAUCGAACAGGAUUAGAUACCCUUGUAGUC